ensembl:lncRNA
CAUCAUCCCCGGUGGCCAGACGGAUGAUCUUUUCUCAGAGGUCAGCCUGGCUGUGCAUAUGUAAACUACCUGAAAUGGCCAGGGUUGCAAUUCAAGGGCCACCGAACAGUUCAUUGCUCUAAUUAGGGCUCUUCUUGUUGUGUGCUGCAGCCUCUGUUUUGCUUCGUUUUUUUUUACCAUUUUCUGUUAUUUUGUGUUUGAAAACAGAACAAUUUUCCAUUUUGCAAAUUACCUGCUCGUGUCUGGUUAAUGUGCCUCACAUACUUGGGAGUCUGAAACGAUGUAAUUGAGAAUUCCAGGCCAGUUUGGGUUAUAGAACGUGAGCGUAUCUUUACCCAAACAAAACAGAACAGAACAAAACGCUCCUAUCAGUGUCCGGGGACUUUUUUUCUAUUCAGUGUCUCUAUGUUAAGGCGAAGUCUAGCAGUAAUUGGGGGCUUUGUGGUGACAGCACAACAUAUUUUGAUGCUGUCAAUAUUGACUAUCUUGAGGGACAGUUGAGCCUAGACAUCAAUGAUCUGGUCCCAAACACUGCUAGUGUAAUGAUAUAUAACUUAUGCAGCCUCUCAGUGUCUUAGUUUUCUCUUGGGUAACUCGGGGUGAGGGAAGACAGUGGCAUAUGUAUACUAACUGAAGUAAUAUGUAAAAGACCGACAUGGUCCUAUGGUAACUCUCUAAAAGUUUCUCGUUAGAGACAGGUUGAACGUACAGAGUGAGAACUCAGAGAACAUGUCCACUUUUAACAGUUAGGAUGUUAACAUAAGUUGUUCACCCUGAAAUGGCCAUUAGAAGAAAGGAAAUUUGCUCCUGAGUUAAAACUCAUUCCAAUGCUUGAGAAGAGAAUUCUUUAAUCAUGAUUCAAUAUACAGCUCGGUAGUAGUCUCUCAAGUAUGAGAGGUGUCCUUUCUCCUCCCCCCCCCAUAAUUAAGUGGAUGCAUGUUUCGUGUUGAAAUGGGCAUGAGCUUGAUGGCGGUAGUUAUGAUUGGGAUGUGAAAGGGCCAGGCGGGGGCCCUGAGUGUUGGUGUCUCGACUUUGGGGGUGGUGGAAGCCUGUGGUAAAUGUUCAGAGAUAACUGCAUUACCUCCAAUAAACCUGGAGAACUCUCAGAAGACUGAACUGUACUGGCAGCCUCGUAGCUGUAACAUUACAUACAGCUCUGCGGAAUCUUGAUGCUGGGGGAGGUCAAGUCAAGACUGUCUUAAAAAGUGGACUCGAAUCUCUAAAGGUCUCAGAAUUACCGUCAAACCCAACUGUCUCGAGAUGCUCAACGAUACUCUUUGUUUGUUUUCAGGUUGUUCCUGCUUGAUUGGCACGGUGCCAUUGGCUUCGUAUUUGGGAAUCGGAGGAGUUAAUCUUGUGAGUAUGUUCUUAACGCCAACCCCCUGUCUCCCAUCUUCCUGCUCUACCUGCUCCAGGGUAUUAAAACACCGGACACCAGAGGCCCUAAGCUAGGUAGAGGAGGGGUACAGUUCUAAGGAAGAUUUCUGGCUCCUUACUGAGACGGUACCCAUAAAUCUGAAUCUCACUGUCCAAGGUCAGAGAGACUGCUUCUCCCCGUAGCCACCGUCCUAGACACUGCAGCCACUAGGAGGGUAGCUGAAGGCCUAGAUCAGGUUUAAGUGCCUUAUUUACAUUGGCAGAGUGUUUCCUUGAACCUAGAGAUUUUCAUGGCGCCUGAAAGGUGGGGAACUGACCCUCUGCCCUCCAUAUAUCAUGGUAUGACUUGAAGCUUUGCAGCUGUCUGGGCUGGGCUCAGGGCUGGAAGUGGGGGCUGGAGACCUAGCCGAGGUUGGCUUCACUCCCUCAAAGAAGGGAUGCUCCCACACAGCUGUCAGGUCAGGGAAUCCUACCCCAGCCCUGCCAGGCAGGGCCCCCUCCCUGCACUGACGGAUUGCCUUUUCUUUUCUAAACUGAGUCUGAGGUUACAUGGAC